GCGAAUGGGUGAGUAACGCGUUGGUGACCUACCCCAAAGAGAGGAAUAACUCCGGGAAACUGGAGCUAAUACCCCAUGUGGUUACCAGGGUUAGAGGCCUGGCAACUGAAGGAGCAAUCCACUUUGGGAGGGACCUGCGUCCCAUCAGCUAGUUGGUAGGGUAACGGCCUACCAAGGCGACGACGGGUAGGGGGCCUGAGAGGGUGGCCCCCCACACUGGCACUGAAACACGGGCCAGACACCUACGGGUGGCAGCAGUAGGGAAUAUUGCACAAUGGGCGAAAGCCUGAUGCAGCAACGCCGCGUGCGCGAUGAAGACCUUCGGGUUGUAAAGCGCUUUUAUGAAGGACGAGGAAGGACGGUACUUCAAGAAUAAGGAUCGGCUAACUACGUGCCAGCAGCCGCGGUAAUACGUAGGAUCCGAGCGUUAUCCGAAUUUACUGGGCGUAAAGCGCGUGUAGGCGGUUUGAUAAGUUGGAUGUGAAAGCUCCCGGCUCAACUGGGAGAGGCCGUUCAAAACUAUCAGACUUGAGGACGGUAGAGGGAGGUAGAAUUCCCGGUGUAGUAGUGAAAUGCGUAGAUAUCGGGAGGAAUACCAGUGGCGAAGGCGGCCUCCUGGACCGUUCCUGACGCUCAGACGCGAAAGCUAGGGGAGCGAACGGGAUUAGAAACCCCGGUAGUCCUAGCUGUAAACGAUGCAAACUUGGUGUUGGUGGGGUAAAAUCCGCCGGUGCGGAGCUAACGCGAUAGUUUGCCGCCUGGGGACUACGGCCGCAAGGUU
rnacentral:rRNA from 1 species